rnacentral:rRNA from 1 species
AAGGCUGAGGCGUGAUGACGAGGCACCACGGUGCUGAAGUGACAAAUGCCCUGCUUCCAGGAAAAGCCUCUAAGCAUCAGGUAACAUCAAAUCGUACCCCAAACCGACACAGGUGGUCAGGUAGAGAAUACCAAGGCGCUUGAGAGAACUCGGGUGAAGGAACUAGGCAAAAUGGUGCCGUAACUUCGGGAGAAGGCACGCUGACAUGUAGGUGAAGCCCCUGCGGGUGGAGCUGAAGUCAGUCGAAGAUACCAGCUGGCUGCAACUGUUUAUUAAAAACACAGCACUGUGCAAACACGAAAGUGGACGUAUACGGUGUGACGCCUGCCCGGUGCCGGAAGGUUAAUUGAUGGGGUUAUCGCAAGAGAAGCUCCUGAUCGAAGCCCCGGUAAACGGCGGCCGUAACUAUAACGGUCCUAAGGUAGCGAAAUUCCUUGUCGGGUAAGUUCCGACCUGCACGAAUGGCGUAAUGAUGGCCAGGCUGUCUCCACCCGAGACUCAGUGAAAUUGAACUCGCUGUGAAGAUGCAGUGUACCCGCGGCAAGACGGAAAGACCCCGUGAACCUUUACUACAGCUUGACACUGAACAUUGAGCCUUGAUGUGUAGGAUAGGUGGGAGGCUUUGAAGCGUGGACGCCAGUCUGCGUGGAGCCGACCUUGAAAUACCACCCUUUAAUGUUUGAUGUUCUAACCUGGCGCCGUGAUCCGGCGUGGGGACAGUGUCUGGUGGGUAGUUUGACUGGGGCGGUCUCCUCCCAAAGUGUAACGGAGGAGCACGAAGGUCAGCUAAUCCUGGUCGGACAUCAGGAGGUUAGUGCAAUGGCAUAAGCUGGCUUGACUGCGAGAGUGACGGCUCGAGCAGGUGCGAAAGCAGGUCAUAGUGAUCCGGUGGUUCUGUAUGGAAGGGCCAUCGCUCAACGGAUAAAAGGUACUCCGGGGAUAACAGGCUGAUACCGCCCAAGAGUUCAUAUCGACGGCGGUGUUUGGCACCUCGAUGUCGGCUCAUCACAUCCUGGGGCUGAAGUAGGUCCCAAGGGUAUGGCUGUUCGCCAUUUAAAGUGGUACGCGAGCUGGGUUUAGAACGUCGUGAGACAGUUCGGUCCCUAUCUGCCGUGGGCGCUGGAGAAUUGAGGGGGGCUGCUCCCAGUACGAGAGGACCGGAGUGGACGCAUCACUGGUGUUCGGGUUGUCAUGCCAAUGGCACUGCCCGGUAGCUAAAUGCGGAAGAGAUAAGUGCUGAAAGCAUCUAAGCACGAAACUUGCCCCGAGAUGAGUUCUCCCUGAGACUGUAAGUCUCCUGAAGGAACGUUGAAGACGACGACGUUGAUAGGCCGGGUGUGUAAGCGCAGCGAUGCGUUGAGCUAACCGGUACUAAUGAACCGUGAGGCUUAACCUUACAACGCCAAAGAAGU